rnacentral:pre_miRNA from 1 species
UCUUGCAUAUUGGAUAAUUCCAAAGGGAUUGCAUUGAUUCAUCGCAAAAAUAGCAGGAGCUGGAUGAUGAAUCAUGCACUCUCUUUGGAAUCUUCCAGUAUGAAGA